rnacentral:sRNA from 1 species
GUAGUCAGCGAGACUUUUCUCAACGCUACUUUUUUAAUUUUUAUUUUUUCGCUGUUCACCUUUGGUGCAGCAAUUUAUACGUCAAAGAGGAUUAACCC